rnacentral:rRNA from 1 species
ACCGGCGCAAGGGUGCGUAACGCGUGAGCAACAUGCCCGUAUCAGGGGGAUAAUCCAGGGAAACUUGGUCUAAUACCGCAUAAUGAUUCUGGAAGGCAUCUUUUGGGAUUUAAAAUUUCGAUGGAUACGGAUUGGCUCGCGUGACAUUAGCUGGAUGGUAGGGUAACGGCCUACCAUGGCUACGAUGUCUAGGGGUUCUGAGAGGAAGGUCCCCCACACUGGAACUGAGACACGGUCCAGACUCCUACGGGAGGCAGCAGUGAGGAAUAUUGGACAAUGGAUGGAAAUCUGAUCCAGCCAUGCCGCGUGCAGGAAGACGGCCCUAUGGGUUGUAAACUGCUUUUGUAUGGGAGCAAUAAGGUCUACGUGUAGGCCGAUGAGAGUACCAUACGAAUAAGGACCGGCUAACUCCGUGCCAGCAGCCGCGGUAAUACGGAGGGUCCGAGCAUUAUCCGGAUUUAUUGGGUUUAAAGGGUGCGUAGGCGGUUUUAUAAGUCAGCGGUGAAAUUUUCCGGCUCAACCGGGAGACUGCCGUUGAUACUGUAAGGCUAGGAUAUGGUUGCUGUGGGUGGAAUGUGUGGUGUAGCGGUGAAAUGCUUAGAGAUCACACAGAAUAUCGAUUGCGAAGGCAGCUCACAAAGCCAUUAUUGACGCUGAGGCACGAAAGCGUGGGGAUCAAACAGGAUUAGAUACCCUGGUAGUCCACACUGUAAACGAUGAUAACUCGCUGUCGGCGAUAUAAAGUCGGUGGCCAAGCGAAAGCGAUAA